UUGAGCACACUUUCCAACUAUUCAAGAUAGAUUUACUUGAAUACACAUAAUACAUGUCAUCAUAGUCAACUAUAACUAAGCUUUGGAUAAAAGCGUCUGCUAAAUGGCAUAUUAUUUAUUUAUUAUUAUAAAAUCCCCCUAAAUCCCUCAAAUAAAAACGUAAUUUAGCAUCAAUUAGCCAGAUAAGCUAAUGUUAGCAAAUUAGCUGAAAGGAAUGAAAAGGACUUUUGCCACAUGGAAAAUUCAGAACUGGAAGAAGUGCAAGAGAAAUGAAGAUGUUUUCUAGUUGAGGAGCACAUGGGCAAUUGAAGAGCAUGUCAAAACGAAGAGCCAGACUUAGUCCUGAGGCUGAGGCUAUUCAUUUUAUUAUUUCUGGAAGUGACAAGCCUUGUAUAAAGUCAAAUGGAUCAAUGACUAUAAAGGACGUGGUGUAUUUGCCUCAGCACCAAUUGAAAAGGGAUCCUUUGUCCUCGAGUACCGUGGGGAGUUUAUAUCGCAAUAUGAACGGGACAAGAGGCAGGGGAAGUAUACGGAAAAGCAAAAUGCUUUCUUGUUUGAUUUUGAAUGGAACAAUGGCUCAUGGUGCAUAGAUGCAUCCUGCGAAGAUGGUUCACUGGGGAGGCUGGUAAAUGAUGCCCACAGGUCCCCAAAUUGCAAAAUGAAAAAGAUGAUAGUCCAAUGUAAACCUCAUCUUUGCUUGUUUGCUAUUGAAAACAUCCAAGCAGAGAGUGAAAUAACCUAUGAUUAUGGAUAAUCUCAGUGGCCAUGGCGU